rnacentral:rRNA from 1 species
UAAGCUUCAGUUACACAGGAAUCGUACCCGAAACCGACACAGGUGGUCAGGUCGAGUAGACCAAGGCGCUUGAGAGAACUCUGCUGAAGGAACUAGGCAAAAUGGUACCGUAACUUCGGGAGAAGGUACGCUGUUGUUGGUGAUGGAACUCGCUUCCUGAGCUGACGACAGCCGCAGAAACCAGGCCGCUGCAACUGUUUAUUAAAAACAUAGCACUCUGCAAACACGAAAGUGGACGUAUAGGGUGUGAUGCCUGCCCGGUGCUGGAAGGUUAAUUGAUGGGGUUAGCGUAAGCGAAGCUCUUGAUCGAAGCCCCAGUAAACGGCGGCCGUAACUAUAACGGUCCUAAGGUAGCGAAAUUCCUUGUCGGGUAAGUUCCGACCUGCACGAAUGGCAUAAUGAUGGCGGCGCUGUCUCCAGCAGAGGCUCAGUGAAAUCGAAAUCGCUGUGAAGAUGCAGUGUACCCGCGGCUAGACGGAAAGACCCCGUGAACCUUUACUGCAGCUUGACACUGAACUUUGACCUUACUUGUGUAGGAUAGGUGGGAGGCUUUGAAGCUGGAACGCUAGUUCCAGUGGAGCCGUCCUUGAAAUACCACCCUGGUAAUGUUGAGGUUCUAACUCUGUCCCGUGAUCCGGGACGAGGACCGUGUCUGGUGGGUAGUUUGACUGGGGCGGUCUCCUCCUAAAGAGUAACGGAGGAGUACGAAGGUGCGCUCAGCGUGGUCGGAAAUCACGCGUAGAGUAUAAAGGCAAAAGCGCGCUUAACUGCGAGACCCACAAGUCGAGCAGGUACGAAAGUAGGUCUUAGUGAUCCGGUGGUUCUGUAUGGAAGGGCCAUCGCUCAACGGAUAAAAGGUACUCUGGGGAUAACAGGCUGAUACCGCCCAAGAGUUCAUAUCGACGGCGGUGUUUGGCACCUCGAUGUCGGCUCAUCUCAUCCUGGGGCUGAAGCAGGUCCCAAGGGUAUGGCUGUUCGCCAUUUAAAGAGGUACGCGAGCUGGGUUUAGAACGUCGUGAGACAGUUCGGUCCCUAUCUACCGUGGGCGCUGGAAAUUUGAGAGGAUCUGCUCCUAGUACGAGAGGACCAGAGUGGACGAACCUCUGGUGUACCGGUUGUGACGCCAGUCGCAUCGCCGGGUAGCUAUGUUCGGAAGGGAUAACCGCUGAAAGCAUCUAAGCGGGAAGCCUACCUCAAGAUAAGAUUUCCCUAGGACUUUAUGUCCUCUAAAGAGCCGUUCGAGACUAGGACGUUGAUAGGUUGGAUGUGGAAGCAUAGUGAUAUGUGAAGCUGACCAAUACUAAUUGCUCGUGAGGCUUGACUAUACAACACCCAAGCAGUUG